CGCGGAGGGGCCGCGGCGGGGCGGGGACUGGCUCGGCUCGGGGAGCGAGGGGCGGGCCCGCGGCCGCCUGGUGACGAGGACCCGCGGCGGCCUCCGCGGAGUCGCGGUCCAGCCAGCCCGGAUCGGCGCCCCUCGCCGGUGCAGGGCCCCGCCGGCCUGCUCCUCCCGGGCGGCGCGCGCCUCUCCUGGCGGCGGCAUCACCCCACUGCCUCCCGUUCCGCCCCAAAACGAGACCAGUGGUGGCGCCCCUGAAGCGCGCGUCCGCGGCAGCCCGCGGCCCGCUGGAGGCCUGACCCCCGGGCUCAGGGAAGCACGGCCUCUCCCCACGCCGGGCCUGGGGGUCCCGGUGUGCCCCCACGCGGGGCCGGGGCUGGGCCCAUGGCGGACCCGCGGCGGCUCUGCAGGCUGGUGCAGGAGGGCCGGCUGGGCGCCCUGCGGGAGGAGCUACGGGGCGCGGGGCCCGCCCUCUGCCCGGGCCCGGCCGGGGACACCCUCCUGCACUGCGCCGCCCGCCACGGGCGUCGGGACGUGCUGGCCUACCUGGUCGAGGCCUGGGACAGGGACAUCGAGGCCGCCAACCGAGACUACAAGCGGCCUCUGCACGAGGCUGCCUCCAUGGGCCACCGGGACUGCGUGCAGUACCUGCUGGGCCGGGGAGCCGCGGUCGACUGCCUGAAGAAGGCCGACUGGACUCCUCUGAUGAUGGCCUGCACAAGGAAGAAUCUCGGGGUGAUCCAGGACCUUGUGGAACAUGGUGCCAAUCCGCUUCUGAAGAACAAAGACGGCUGGAACAGUUUCCACAUUGCCAGCCGAGAAGGUGACCCCCUGAUCCUCCAGUACUUGCUCACUGUCUGCCCGGCUGCCUGGAAGACAGAGAGCAAAAUUGGGAGAACUCCUCUGCACACCGCAGCGAUGCAUGGCUGUUUAGAGGCAGUACAGGUGCUUCUUCGGAGGUGCCAGUAUGAACCCAACUGCAGAGACAAGUGUGGACUCACACCCUUUAUGGACGCGAUUCAGUGUGGUCACAUCAACGUAGCCAGGCUGCUCCUGGAAGAACAUAAGGCUUGCGUUUCUGCUGAGGAUUCCCUGGGGGCCCAGGCUAUCCACAGGGCAGCAGUCACCGGGCAGAACGAAGCCAUCCGGUUCUUGGUCUCUGAACUUGGCGUUGACAUAGAUGUGAGAGCAGCAUCGACCCGCCUCACGGCACUUCAUUAUGCAGCUAAGGAAGGUCACGUAAGCACAGUUCAGAUGCUUUUAUCCUUGGGUGCUGACAUCAACGCUAAAGAUGCAAGAAGUCGAUCAGCCCUGCACUUGGCCUGCGCAGGGCAGCACGUGGCUUGUGUCGAGUUUCUCCUGCAGUCUGGGCUGAGAGACUCCGCAGACAUCACGGGCACCCUGGCUCAGCAGCUCACACGGAGCGCAGACAUCCUCCAUUGCUUCGACCACAGUGUGACGACGUGAGGGUGUUUCUAAAGGAAGACAGUGCCGCGUGUGGUAACUGCCAUCCUGCUGCUUAAGUCGUUACCAGAUUCAGUGAAGUUAGACAUGUCUUUGUGUUGCUGCCCUGCGGGUCUGAAGGAGGUGCCGUUAUGUGGAGCUCCAGGUGUGCAGGUGGGAUGGAAGGAUCGGGUGGUGCGGGCUUUCUCUGCCCCUCAGCACACACCUGAAUCAGCUUUUUAUUUGCCAUGACUACAUGCAAGGUCCGGUCACAUCUGUAGUGUUGCUCCCGCCGAACAAACUAGCGGGGGUUGUGGUCUCUCGGUUACACUUUUCUUCCCCAGGGGUUCUGGAUUUGAGAAGCCUGUGGAGAGUAGACCAUGGCUCCUCGAUGCUGCUGCUGAAACUGCUCAAAAGCCGGAGAUGGCAGUAAUGAUGACAUUAAUUAUGGCAAAGAUGUUGCAGGUCCUUCCAGUUGUGGCAUAUGGGACGCCGUCUCAACGUGGCCUGAUGAGCAGUGCCAUGUCCACGCCCAGGAUCCGAACCAGCGAAACCCUGGGCCGCCGCAGCGGAGCACGCGAACUUAACCACUCAGUCACGGGGCCAGCCCCUCCAUCAUAUUCUUGUCCAUGUUUAUCCUCAUGUUGUCAUUUUUCGGUUAUUUUGUUUUGUUAAGAUAAGAUGUAGAUAGGAUAUCUCUGAAGCUUUGUCACAUUCGACUGGAAGCAAAGGCUGCUGGAUCUGAUGGCCAGAAGGUCAGCCUGGGCGAGGGGUGGAGACUGUGGCGGCCUGAACAGGUCCGUGCUCUGUUGGAUGUGUUGAGUGUGAAGAGAAAGAAAGACAUGAGGAAGUAGUUUGAUGCGGUAGAUUUUUUAGAGUGUAUGUUUACACACGUAGGGCAGGAUCCAGUGGUGGGGAGAAAACCGGAGCAGAGAGGGGGAAGGCUCAUUGAUGAGCGGGUCCUGCGGGAGACGGGGGAAGAGGCACUGACAGCCUUCGGGGAGGCUGAGCUCUCGAAUGCAGAGGAAGAUGUAGAAAGGAAGAAAGGAUGGCGAUCAAGAGAAAGUUUCCGUGGAACCCGCGUCCUCGUCUCAUUUACAACACCAGUAUUUGGAGCUGUGGGGUUGGCGGAACAUGUAUGUUACAUUUUCUAUGAUAAAAUAAUGUUAACCUACA